ACUCCUACGGGAGGCAGCAGUGGGGAAUAUUGCACAAUGGGCGCAAGCCUGAUGCAGCCAUGCCGCGUGAGUGAUGAAGGCCCUAGGGUUGUAAAGCUCUUUCAGCGAGGAGGAUAAUGACGUUACUCGCAGAAGAAGCCCCGGCUAACUUCGUGCCAGCAGCCGCGGUAAUACGAAGGGGGCUAGCGUUGUUCGGAAUCACUGGGCGUAAAGCGCACGUAGGCGGACUUUAAGUCAGGGUGAAAUCCCGGGGCUCAACCCCGGAACUGCCUUUGAUACUGGAAGUCUUGAGUCCGAGAGAGGUGAGUGGAACUCCGAGUGUAGAGGUGAAAUUCGUAGAUAUUCGGAAGAACACCAGUGGCGAAGGCGGCUCACUGGCUCGGUACUGACGCUGAGGUGCGAAAGCGUGGGAGCAAACAGGAUUAGAUACCCGUGUAGGACAGUG
rnacentral:rRNA from 1 species